UACGUAGGGGGCAAGCGUUGUCCGGAAUCAUUGGGCGUAAAGCGCGUGUAGGCGGCCAGAUAGGUCCGUUGUGAAAACUCGAGGCUCAACCUCGAGACGCCGAUGGAAACCAUUUGGCUAGAGUCCGGAAGAGGAGAGUGGAAUUCCUGGUGUAGCGGUGAAAUGCGCAGAUAUCAGGAAGAACACCCGUGGCUAAGGCGGCUCUCUAGUACGGUACUGACGCUGAGACGCGAAAGCGUGGGGAGCGAACAGG
rnacentral:rRNA from 1 species